rnacentral:lncRNA from 1 species
GUGUGUGUUCUUCUCCAAAGCCUUUCUUGCUGCUGUGCUUCAAGACUAUGGGAGGUCCCGAGGAAUCGCUGUGGAUGCCCUCACCUUCACCCACCAUGUGAUUUCCGACACCACUGACAAGGAUGAGAAGUUCUCCGUAUUUAUGCCAAAGAAACUCAACAUAGUCAGGAGAGCGUUUAAGGGCUCAGCUUCCUCUCACACUGGAGUUUACAUUUUUGGUUUAUUCAUCGAGGGGGCAAGAUGGAAUCAUGAACAGAAAAUACUGGAAGACUCGCUGCCUCUGGAGAUGUGCUGUGAUUUUCCCGACAUAUACUUUUUGCCAACAAAGGUAACCACCCUGCUAUUAUCCUGAAGUCCUAAACCUCUGAGCGUUCCUUCAGUAAUAUACAAA